rnacentral:tRNA from 1 species
GUCUUGAUAGUCUGAAGGCUUAGGACAUUCGCACGGAAUGCAAGAGAUCCGGGUUCGAUUCCCGGCCGAGGCA